CAGUCGAGCGGAUGAUGGGAGCUUGCUCCUGGAUUCAGCGGCGGACGGGUGAGUAAUGCCUAGGAAUCUGCCUGGUAGUGGGGGACAACGUUUCGAAAGGAACGCUAAUACCGCAUACGUCCUACGGGAGAAAGCAGGGGACCUUCGGGCCUUGCGCUAUCAGAUGAGCCUAGGUCGGAUUAGCUAGUUGGUGAGGUAAUGGCUCACCAAGGCGACGAUCCGUAACUGGUCUGAGAGGAUGAUCAGUCACACUGGAACUGAGACACGGUCCAGACUCCUACGGGAGGCAGCAGUGGGGAAUAUUGGACAAUGGGCGAAAGCCUGAUCCAGCCAUGCCGCGUGUGUGAAGAAGGUCUUCGGAUUGUAAAGCACUUUAAGUUGGGAGGAAGGGCAGUAAGUUAAUACCUUGCUGUUUUGACGUUACCGACAGAAUAAGCACCGGCUAACUCUGUGCCAGCAGCCGCGGUAAUACAGAGGGUGCAAGCGUUAAUCGGAAUUACUGGGCGUAAAGCGCGCGUAGGUGGUUUGUUAAGUUGGAUGUGAAAGCCCCGGGCUCAACCUGGGAACUGCAUCCAAAACUGGCAAGCUAGAGUACGGUAGAGGGUGGUGGAAUUUCCUGUGUAGCGGUGAAAUGCGUAGAUAUAGGAAGGAACACCAGUGGCGAAGGCGACCACCUGGACUGAUACUGACACUGAGGUGCUAAAGCGUGGGGAGCAAACAGGAUUAGAUACCCUGGUAGUCCACGCCGUAAACGAUGUCAACUAGCCGUUGGAAUCCUUGAGAUUUUAGUGGCGCAGCUAACGCAUUAAGUUGACCGCCUGGGGAGUACGGCCGCAAGGUUAAAACUCAAAUGAAUUGACGGGGGCCCGCACAAGCGGUGGACCAUGUGGUUUAAUUCCAAGCAACGCGAAU
rnacentral:rRNA from 1 species